rnacentral:rRNA from 1 species
AAUCAACGCUGGCGGCGUGCCUCAGACAUGCAAGUCGAACGAGAACCUCCCUUCGGGGAGGAGACAGUGGCGCACGGGUGAGUAACACGUGGGUAAUUUACCUUUGGGUGGGGAACAACAGCCGGAAACGGCUGCUAAUACCGCAUAAUGCAGCGGCUCGACAUCGAGACAGUUGUUAAAGCGGGGAGUCGCAAGACCUCGCGCCUGAAGAGAAGCCUGCGGCGGAUUAGCUAGUUGGUAGGGUAAUGGCCUACCAAGGCGACGAUCUGUAACCGGCCUGAGAGGGCGGUCGGUCACACUGACACUGACAUACGGGUCAGACUCCUACGGGAGGCAGCAGUCGGG